GACGAACGCUGGCGGCGUGCUUAACACAUGCAAGUCGAACGGAAAGGCCCUGCUUUUGUGGGGUGCUCGAGUGGCGAACGGGUGAGUAACACGUGAGUAACCUACCCUUGACUUUGGGAUAACUUCAGGAAACUGGGGCUAAUACCGGAUAGGAGCUCCUGCUGCAUGGUGGGGGUUGGAAAGUUUCGGCGGUUGGGGAUGGACUCGCGGCUUAUCAGCUUGUUGGUGGGGUAGUGGCUUACCAAGGCUUUGACGGGUAGCCGGCCUGAGAGGGUGACCGGCCAUAUUGGGACUGAGAUACGGCCCAGACUCCUACGGGAGGCAGCAGUGGGGAAUAUUGCACAAUGGGCGGAAGCCUGAUGCAGCAACGCCGCGUGCGGGAUGACGGCCUUCGGGUUGUAAACCGCUUUCGCCUGUGACGAAGCGUGAGUGACGGUAAUGGGUAAAGAAGCACCGGCUAACUACGUG
rnacentral:rRNA from 1 species